CCUAACACUGACACACACAGCCUAACUUUUCUCACUAAGUCUGAACUGUAACACAGAAGGCUACUAGUCUAAUAGCAUAGAUUACUUUUAAAGUAGGCCUACACCUGAUUUGGGUCACAGAUUAUCCAUGGUAUUGAUCAGAUACUCUAGUGGCCGCUGUGACAAUAAAAAUAAAUGUUUUUAAAAAAUGGAGGCAGUCGGGAGGAGGCAAGAUCAGGUAGGUCUGUCCUAACCAAUGAGAGGGUAGAUAUGCGCUUGAACAACUGGUGCAGUAGUUACCCCAGCCACAACGUUAGCUAUGUCGUAAAAAUUAUUUGAGGGUUUUAAUUUAAAGUUAGGGUUUGGUAUAAGGUAGCAGUGUGGUUAAGGUUAUGGUCAUAUAAAAACGUAUACAAAAAUAAAGAAAAGUUUAGGGUUAGGUUUAAAAUCACAUUUUAAGAAGAGAAAUUCUAGAAAUAGGCACGGUUUAUGACUUUGUGGCUGUGGUAAAGUGACGACCAGGCACAACUCUAAUAUAAAGUGUUUUUUUCUCAAAGUUGCCGGGAUGUCACGUGUCCUAUUUAUAUCAGUACACUCGUAACAACCUAAUCAUUACGAAACAUUUAUUCUAUCAAAUAAGCCACACGUAACAAAUAAGCCAUUACAUUUUUUGUUAACCAAAUUUGAUACUCUCAUUGACCUCCAUACAAAAAUCCCUCGCUGGAGAAGAACCUCUUUGGUUAGGUUACAUUGUAGGGUUAUUUUUGGUGUUGAUGAGUUGCUAUAGUGAUGGAAGAAUAAACUGCAGAAAAUAAUUAGCCUAGGCACAGAAUAGACUGAGUGAGCUACCUGCUAGCCAGCUGCACAGAAAGAUAGAUAGGACACAUUUUCAAUUUACUGGUAUUUAGCAAUAUUUUUAUUGCGAUUGUAGGGCUUUAGCCACUGAAUAUAGGUAGUUUUUACUUGAAAGAAUAAAACCAUCACUUACAAAAUUCGCUGCUGGCAUAAUACAGCCAGUGCCAUGCAGCGCUGCCUCUCGCCCGACUUGUUGCCUCAGCAAGCGCCUCAAGCACUCCCACACAGCCAGCAUGCAAGCAACCCCCCCAGCUCGUCUCAUGUCUUUACAUGCUUUAAUUGUAAAAAAUCUAUUCACUUUUAGUGUGCCAUGAACACAUGUUGAUUGUCAAGCAAAUCACUUUAAAAAAAGGUUACUUUCGCACAUUCAUCCAAAAUAAUUCAGCAUCCGAACAGUGCACUGUGCACCCACCAACUUUCCUUAAAUUUGCAAGUGGAUGCUGGCCUUCUAGGCAGAGUUCCUUUGUCCAGUGUCUGUGUUCUCAUUAAAUGGUACCCGCAAAAAAACUGUCUCUACGUCAACAGUGAAGAGGCGACUCCAGGAUGCUGGCCUUCUAGGCAGCGUUGCAAAGAAAAAGCCAUAUCUCAGACUGGCCAAUAAAAUAAAAUAUUAAGAUGGGCAAAAGAACACAGACACUGGACAGAGGAACUCUGCCUAGAAGGCCAGUAUCCCGGAGUCGCCUCUUCACUGUUGACGUUGAGACUGGUGUUUUGCAGGUACUAUUUAAUGAAGCUACCAGUUGAGGACUUGUUGUUUCUCAAACUAGACACACUAACGUACUUGUCCUCUUGAUUAGAUGUGCACUGGGGCCUCCCACUCCUCUCUCUAUUCUGGUUAGAGCCAGUUUGUGCUGUUCUGUGAAGGGAGUAGUACACAGCAUUGUACGAGAUCUUCAGUUUCUUGGCAAUUGUAGAUAUUCCAUUAAAAAUCAGCCGUUUCCAGCUACAGUGGUUCCUCCUACAAAAGUUGCGAACACCGCAGGAAUUAGAGGUACCCAGCGUCACGGCUUCAUUGCUCCAGACCACCACAAGGGGGAGUUAGAGCACUCAUUACGCAUUUGGGUCCCAAGGUUUUUAUAUGACCAAUCAUAUCGAGUGGUUCCAAUGACGAAUUUGACACGGAGCCAUGGUGACUUUUUUCAGCAAAGAUGGCUGACAAAACAUUACGGGGAGGCAAAUGUAAGUAGUUAUAACAUCAUAACGAGUCAAGCAAAAAAAUAUACAAUUGUGAGGAAUAUGUUAGUUAAUGUAGAAACAAAUGAAUUGUGCAUAUUUUUUGGUCAUAAAGUUAAUUUACGAAAAUCGCUAUUUUGCACGUUUUUCUUCUGUCAUAUCCAAAACCAGGUGUAUCAAACGCCAUUCUGUGAAGAAUGCUGUGUCUGCAUGUACAGUUUGUAUUACAAUUAUACACUUCAACAGUGUUUACCACUCCUGCUCCUGGGACAUCAAUGAUUACACAUUGUAGCUAUGCAAUAGACUAGAAACAUUAUUUUGUAAUUCAUAUACAGAAUAAAAAACAGUACAUCCUGCCAGCACGCCCACAAGCGUGCUGAAUGACGCGUGGAAAAGAGAGCGAGGAAUGAGAUAGGAGUAACAAUCCAGGCUAUUUGUCUGAGUUCAGGCUGUAUCACAUCCGACCGUAAUUGGGAGUGCCAUAGGGCGGCGCACAAUUGGCCAGCAGGUUUGGCCGGGGUCUGCUGGUGCUGGGGUAGGCUGGUGCUGAAAAUAUAGCUAAAUUGUUAUGCAAGUGUUGCACACCAACAGAUGGAGAAAACCUACACCAGUUGAGAAAUUAAUUUCAACAAUAAUCUUCAUUUUAAUUUGACUUUACGAACAAUAAGAGGGCUUAAUUGGAGUCUAUUUCUUCGGGGCCUAGACCUAUAUAAAUGAACUUAACUGGCUGAGGCAGGCUAUGAGGCUUUAUUAGGACAACUUACAACUGCAACUGGUCAGAAUUGGAGCAUGCUACAUAAAACAAUCAUUUAAAGAAAAAAAGUCUGCACGUUAGAUCUAAACAAUGUAACUAAUAAUUAAAAGCGCACAUUUGUAAAUCCCAAACUCUAAAAGUAAUUGGAAAGGCCAAUUAUGUGUGACACAAUACAGAAUGUAAACAAGAUGUAAACAAGAUGCUGUGUUUUUAUUUACAGUAGUGAUGGACAACUGGAGGCAUUUUGAAAACAGGUUUUCAAACACUUGUUUUUCACAACUGUAGCAGGUGUAGCCCAUCAUGCAAAUGUUUCCUAUUAGCAGGACAAUAGACUUUUUAUAACCCGGCUACUGUUGGGAAAAAUCCCCCAACUUGCAAAGUAUUCGAUGCUUAAGUACUCUAAAGUGUUACAUUUCUAACUCAAAGCAGCAGUACAGUAUUUAUUCAGCAACAUCUUUAUGCUUUUGUUAAUAAAAUAAAAUAAUGAGAAAAAGACAUUGAAAUGCGGAUGUUUAUAUAAACUAAAUUUUAGUCGCACUUCCACCCAGCUCCACGACCACAGGUAAAACCUUACUGAGAUGAUCAAUGUAUUUGUUGUAUUGUUGUAUUGUCAAUUUCUCUAGUCAAAACAUCUUGAUGGCCUUGACCAGUUUAUCUUUGAGCAAAUUGCUCAAUGGCUGUCUGCAAUCUGCUGUAUACUUAUAGCCUAUUGUAACCUGAAAGUCAUGCCUUUCCUCACCCCGCCCAAAACUACACCCUAAAAACAGUUACUAUUCCAAAACGGGUUGUUAAUAAAAAUGUAAAAAUCACAUUGAGACUAAAGAGAACAAACGGAAUGGACAUCGUUUUCAUCAAGCCAGCUUCUUUCUAUGGUGCUACCCGUUCCAGGGUUAGGACUGUAACCACCAGCUUCUUUCUAUGGUGCUACCCGUUCCAGGGUUAGGACUGUAACCACCAGCUUCUUUCUAUGGUGCUACCCGUUCCAGGGUUAGGACUGUAACCACCAGCUUCUUUCUAUGGUGCUACCCGUCCCAGGGUUAGAACUGUAACCACCAGCUUAUUUCUAUGGUGCUACCCGUUCCAGGGUUAGGACUGUAACCACCAGCUUCUUUCUAUGGUGCUACCCGUUCCAGGGUUAGGACUGUAACCACCAGCUUAUUUUAUGGUGCUACCCGUUCCAGGGUUAGGACUGUAACCACCAGCUUCUUUCUAUGGUGCUACCCGUUCCAGGGUUAGGACUGUAACCACCAGCUUCUUUCUAUGGUGCUACCCAUCCCAGGGUUAGGACUGUAACCACCAGCUUCUUUCUAUGGUGCUACCCGUUCCAGGGUUAGGACUGUAACCACCAGCUUCUUUCUAUGGUGCUACCCGUUCCAGGGUUAGGACUGUAACCACCAGCUUCUUUCUAUGGUGCUACCCGUCCCAGGGUUAGAACUGUAACCACCAGCUUAUUUCUAUGGUGCUACCCGUUCCAGGGUUAGGACUGUAACCACCAGCUUCUUUCUAUGGUGCUACCCGUUCCAGGGUUAGGACUGUAACCACCAGCUUAUUUUAUGGUGCUACCCGUUCCAGGGUUAGGACUGUAACCACCAGCUUCUUUCUAUGGUGCUACCCGUUCCAGGGUUAGGACUGUAACCACCAGCUUCUUUCUAUGGUGCUACCCAUCCCAGGGUUAGGACUGUAACCACCAGCUUCUUUCUAUGGUGCUACCUGUUCCAGGGUUAGGACUGUAACCACCAGCUUCUUUCUAUGGUGCUACCUGUUCCAGGGUUAGGACUGUAACCACCAGCUUCUUUCUAUGGUGCUACCCGUCCCAGGGUUAGAACUGUAACCACCAGCUUAUUUCUAUGGUGCCCCCCGUUCCAGGAUUAGGACUGUAACCACCAGCUUCUUUCUAUGGUGCUACCCGUUCCAGGGUUAGGACUGUAAAAACCAGCUUCUUUCUAUGGUGCUACCUGUUCCAGGGUUAGGACUGUAAUCACCAGCUUCUUUCUAUGGUGCUACCCGUUCCAGGGUUAGGACUGUAACCACCAGCUUCUUUCUAUGGUGCUACCCGUUCCAGGGUUAGGACUGUAACCACCAGCUUCUUUCUAUGGUGCUACCCGUUCCAGGGUUAGGACUGUAACCACCAGCCUCUUUCUAUGGUGCUACCCAUUCCAGGGCUAGGACUGUAACCACCAGAGGACUUGAAAAUGAGCUGGAGCUGAGAGGAUCACCAAAACUAAAGUGCUUACAACCAUGCCGACAACCAUCCGUGGAGAUCAGUUUACUAAGGGCUGGACAACGGGCCACACCGAAAAAACACAUGGCCACUGUAAUCGAUGGGGGCUCAGGGCGGUACCAUUCUGCUCAUCUGAUGAAGGUGCUCAUGGGUGAGAUUCAAACUUUGAAGACCGAGAUCGAGUCAUUGAAGGGAGCCCAGCAGAAGGUCCAGAGCCAGGUGGUAUUGGAGGAGAGUCACUCCUCAUUAGCAGAGAGUCAGGUGGAGAUGUGUAACCGAAGAGAGAUACCAAAAGUGGGCACAGAAUACAAACUGGGAUGGAUCCCGAGGCAAAUGUGGCUUACCAGUGAACCUCUGGGUGUUCAUCAUUAAUACUGUGUCUCAGAAGUUUCCAGCCAUGACUGAUGCAACCCGAAAAAGCAUUAAAGACAGAGUUAAUGAGCACUUGAGUUCACAGAGAAAGUCUGGACAUGGCCUGCUCUCCCUUAUGUAAGGACUUUCCCAUGUUUACUACAGUAUGUACUGUAUGCUAUGUUUUGUUAAUAAAAUAUCUAAAACUA